rnacentral:sRNA from 1 species
GUGAAAACAUAAGAAAAAACACCAAAAAAAAA